CACGUAGGGUGCGAGCGUUGUCCGGAAUUAUUGGGCGUAAAGAGCUCGUAGGCGGUUUGUCGCGUCGGCCGUGAAAACCUGCAGCUUAACUGUGGGCGUGCGGUCGAUACGGGCAUCACUGGAGUUCGGCAGGGGAGACUGGAAUUCCUGGUGUAGCGGUGAAAUGCGCAGAUAUCAGGAGGAACACCGGUGGCGAAGGCGGGUCUCUGGGCCGAUACUGACGCUGAGGAGCGAAAGCGUGGGGAGCAAACAGG
rnacentral:rRNA from 1 species